UACGUAGGGUGCAAGCGUUAAUCGGAAUUACUGGGCGUAAAGCGUGCGCAGGCGGUUUUGUAAGUCUGUCGUGAAAGCCCCGGGCUCAACCUGGGAAUUGCGAUGGAGACUGCAAGGCUUGAAUCUGGCAGAGGGGGGUAGAAUUCCACGUGUAGCAGUGAAAUGCGUAGAGAUGUGGAGGAACACCGAUGGCGAAGGCAGCCCCCUGGGUCAAGAUUGACGCACAUGCACGAAAGCGUGGGGAGCAAACAGG
rnacentral:rRNA from 1 species